rnacentral:tRNA from 1 species
GGAUUGUAGCUCAAUGGAAGAGCACUUGCCUAGCAUGUGUGAGGCACUGGGUUUGAUCCCCAGCACCA